GAUGAAGAACGCAGCGAAAUGCGAUAAGUAAUGUGAAUUGCAGAAUUCAGUGAAUCAUCGAAUCUUUGAACGCACCUUGCACCCUUUGGUAUUCCGAAGGGUAUGCUCGUUUGAGUGUCAUUGUACUCUCACACUUCUAAUUCCUUUCGGGAUUGGGAGCGGUGGACUUGGGUGUUGCUGCUUUAGUUGUGGCUCACCUCAAAUAAGUUAGUGCAACUCUUGGUUGGACAUAGUACGGCGUGAUAAGUGUCUUCGCCGGCGCCUCUGUAAGGAGGGUGGCCGAUCGGGAGCUCUGUGCUUCAAACCGUCUUCGGACAAUCUUUGACAACUUGACCUCAAAUCGAGUAGGACUACCCGCUGAACUUAAGCAUAUCAAUAAGCGGAGGA
rnacentral:misc_RNA from 1 species